GUGUGCUUCUGAUAACCUUCCACUGCCCUCACUCUCUUCUGGGCACACUCCAAGGUCUCUGCGCUAGUGUGGCCUUCUGCAGUGUUUCGUAAGCCAUCGGGGCCAGGUGUGCAGAGAAUACCAGAACUUUCUCAGAGGAUGUCAUCCUCUGCUACAGGUCAUGCUCAGAAACUUCUGGAGUCUACAGGCACCUAUGCUCCAAGUAUAUAAAACUCAGAAUAAGUCUCUGGCCUGUGUGUCUCAAAACUCCCUGUCCCUAAAGGCAGAGAAGCAGUUUGCAGAGUUCUGAAGUGCUGCCUUGGGUGUGACGACAUCGCCAGGGCUUUGGGCCAGAGUGAUAUUCAGUGGUGUUUGAGUUAGAAUAAUCCAAUGAUGCUGGGAAAAAGAGAUCAGAAACAGAGAUUACAGGACAGAAGUCCCCAAACCCAGACCACAAGCCAUUACAACACAGCCAGAGGAGAGCGGCCAGCUAGCCAGUGAAGCUUCACCUGCAGCCUAGGCUCCGCCUCCUGUCGGGUCAGCAGCGGCAUCAGCGUCUCCUAGGAGCCCCCAGACACAACUGUCAUAAUAAUGCCAACUUGGAUGUCUUGGAAGGGAAAAUGAGACGUUUACCUGGAAAUCCUGGAUAUGUAAGCAUCAAAAGCUGUAUCAAGAUCUUCAGGAUUACUUUGAGUGAGCCGCUGACCGACGCAUGAUUAACAGUAGGAGAGCACAUCUGAGGGCAGAGCCCACCGACUCUUCAUACAGAGUGGAUGCGUGUAUGUGGAUGCGCAGAAAAUCAGAACCCUGCUGAAGUCCACUGGAUGAGGCACGACUUUGUUCCAGGCAUGUGUUCAUUAAAAUCUGAAAAAAGAUUCCCAGGCAAGAUGUCUCCCUCUGUGAUAUAGCCACUCUUCCCUACCUCUGCCCCAACAUUCACUCAGACUUUAAUUUCAGUGACCAAAAAGAGGCAAAGAGUGAUGCAUGCCACUGAUUAGAAAAAUAUAUACAACAACCACAAAAUUCUUUGCCAAUAUGUUUCAUUAUUUCUAAAAAACCCACUGCUUAUCGGUCAGCUACCAAACCUCCAACAGAAACAUCACAGUCACAGCUAACCACAAAGUCAUGUACAGCCUCGGGAAUUCAUCCUUCAAGUUUCUCCUUUUAAAGGAAAAAAACAAGCACGAGUAAUAAUAAUGCACAAGACACAGAAUAGCAAAUGCAAAGUAAGAUAACUGACUCGAUCCAUUAGAGCUCAGUGAGGGAAUAGGAUUCCUAGCCACUAAAUUUCUUCGAAAACCAGACUCCCAAUAUUCCACAAUCUUCUUCAAGUCUGUUUUUACAAAUUAUGGAAUUGACAUUUCUUUGGAAGCGUACAUAAAUAGAUUUUACCUCUGAAUGAGAAACUCAUAGAACUUUAAAACCUAAGGCUACUCUCUAGCCUAGUGGGUAAGGGAGCCAGAUUUCAGAUGACAGACUGCAGUUCAAAUCCUGGCCAUGGUGUCUUCAGUAGAACAAUUAUUAGGAGCCUUUAUCAUUUGGGGGCGUCUCUUUAUUUCUUUAAAAGGAAACUAUUAAACUAUUAGACACUAGGAACACACAAUUCUUGGUUCUUCAACUAGGCACAAGCAAUCCAAAGCUGCUCCUGCUAAGUGGAAUCACGGGGACUACUUGGGUCUGAGAUCAGCAUAUUCUAAACAGCAAAGACAACUGUAUACAAAUGGACAGGCACACAUUCUCUGUUUUAAAAGCCAGAUAUAUUUUAAAAGGACCGUGCUUAUAAUAAGUAAAUUACAUAGUGAAAAAACAUCAAUGAUGUCUCAUCAAUGAUGAAUGAAAAGGCACACUUGAAAGGUUCAAGAGUAGAAA